AGAAGAUAUGGACAGAAACAAUAUUGAGCUGAGAUGGAGAGGAGAAAGAAAGCUGUACUCGACAUCAGGAGAUUUUAUUGAAUUUGAUUGUAAAAUAGGAUAUGUGCAGGACCCAGCAUCUUCCCCAUUCAGAGUGCAGUGUAUGGACGGGACGUUAGAAUACCCACGGUGCAAGCCAGGAAGGAACUGUAGAUUGAGUGAGACAGAAAUGAAGAGGAACAAUAUUAAACUAAGACAGUCAAGGAGAAGA